rnacentral:rRNA from 1 species
AUUGAACGCUGGCGGCAGGCCUAACACAUGCAAGUCGAGCGGAUGAAGGGAGCUUGCUCCUGGAUUCAGCGGCGGACGGGUGAGUAAUGCCUAGGAAUCUGCCCGGUAGUGGGGGAUAACGUCCGGAAACGGGCGCUAAUACCGCAUACGUCCUGAGGGAGAAAGUGGGGGAUCUUCGGACCUCACGCUAUCAGAUGAGCCUAGGUCGGAUUAGCUAGUUGGUGGGGUAAAGGCCUACCAAGGCGACGAUCCGUAACUGGUCUGAGAGGAUGAUCAGUCACACUGGAACUGAGACACGGUCCAGACUCCUACGGGAGGCAGCAGUGGGGAAUAUUGGACAAUGGGCGAAAGCCUGAUCCAGCCAUGCCGCGUGUGUGAAGAAGGUCUUCGGAUUGUAAAGCACUUCAAGUUGGGAGGAAGGGCAGUAAGUUAAUACCUUGCUGUUUUGACGUUACCAACAGAAUAAGCACCGGCUAACUUCGUG